rnacentral:rRNA from 1 species
CCUACGGUAGGCAGCAGUAAGGAAUAUUGGUCAAUGGAGGAAACUCUGAACCAGCCAUCCCGCGUGAAGGAUGAAGGGGCUCUGCCUUGUAAACUUCUUUUGUCUGGGGCGAAAAAGCUCGAUUUAUCGAGAACUGACGGUACCAGAAGAAUAAGCACCGGCUAACUCCGUGCCAGCAGCCGCGGUAAUACGGAGGGUUAAAGCGUUAUCCGGAAUCACUGGGUUUAAGGCGUGCUAGGGAGUCUGAGUUGAACGGCGGUGGCUUAACCAUGGAAUUGCCAUUGCUACUGCAGAGCUUGAAUGAGGUUGAGGUUGGCGGAAUGUGACAUGUAGCGGUGAAAUGCUUAGAUAUGUCAUGGAACACCGAUUGCGAAGGCAGCUGACUGGACCUAUAUUGACGCUGAGGCACGAAAGCGUGGGGAGCGAACAGGAUUAGAUACCCGUGUAGUC